CAACUACUCCCUCUGUCCCAAAUUUCUUGGCUUAGAUUUUUCUAGAUACGGAUGUAUCUAAUACUAAAAUGUGACUUGAUACAUCUGUAUCUAGACAAAUCUAAGACAAGAAUUUUGGGACGAAUGGAGUAAUUU
rfam:Triticum aestivum genome assembly, contig: Triticum_aestivum_CS42_TGACv1_scaffold_323509_4BL